rnacentral:rRNA from 1 species
CCAGACUCCUACGGGAGGCAGCAGUGGGGGAUAUUGCACAAUGGGGGAAACCCUGAUGCAGCGACGCCGCGUGGGCGAAGAAGUAUUUCGGUAUGUAAAGCCCUAUCAGCAGGGAAGAAGAAAUGACGGUACCUGAGUAAGAAGCACCGGCUAAAUACGUGCCAGCAGCCGCGGUAAUACGUAUGGUGCAAGCGUUAUCCGGAUUUACUGGGUGUAAAGGGAGCGCAGGCGGCACGGCAAGCCUGAUGUGAAAGCCCGCGGCCCAACCGCGGGACUGCAUUGGGAACUACCGGGCUGGAGUGCCGGAGAGGUAGGCGGAAUUCCUAGUGUAGCGGUGAAAUGCGUAGAUAUUAGGAGGAACAUCGGUGGCGUAAGCGCUUUACUGGGCCGUAAUUGACACUGAGGAACGAAAGCCGGGGUAGCAAAUGGGAUUAGAUACCCGCGUAC